GCGUGUGUGCUUUACAUGAGAGAGGUCAGGGGUUCAAGACUGAGUCGAUGGGUGUGAGGGAUGGGUAGGCUUGUCAUGGGAGGCGGAAAAAUGGCCAGCAGGAAGGUGUGCAGCAACCACUGGAAUGACCUCUUCCACCUCCUCCACUAACAGCUCCUCAUCAGCCGGCAGUGGGAUGUGAUCCUGAAGGGCCAUGUUGCAGAAGCGCCGCCACCAAAACUACACUGCACGCCUUUGCAGGAUGGAGCUUCAGGCCACCAGCGGAUUUGCUCACACACCUUUCCACAUGCCCAGGGCCCUCUCCACAACAACGCGGGUCCGGCUAUGGGCGUUGUUGUACCGCGCCUCUGCCUUGCUGUUGGGCUCCUAGAUGGAGCAGUUGAAAUGCUUGUAUUAUCAUAGGGGGUUGAUGGAAUAAAGUAGGUCUUGAAAUGUCAGUGCACUCAGGGAAUAUAGACAUGCAUUUGAAAACAACAGUAUAGACUUUGUUACUAUCUC